UACGUAGGGAGCAAGCGUUAUCCGGAAUUAUUGGGUGUAAAGGGUGCGUAGACGGGAGUCUAAGUUAGUUGUGAAAUCCCUCGGCUCAACUGAGGAACUGCAACUAAAACUGGACAUCUUGAGUGCGGGAGAGGAAAGUGGAAUUCCUAGUGUAGCGGUGAAAUGCGUAGAUAUUAGGAGGAACACCAGUGGCGAAGGCGACUUUCUGGACUGUAACUGACGUUGAGGCACGAAAGUGUGGGGAGCAAACAGG
rnacentral:rRNA from 1 species